rnacentral:sRNA from 1 species
GAGCAGAAUGGUGCCAUUGCAGAUCAACACGCACUUUAAAUAAUCAAAACCCCUAUCUUUCCCCUGGGAAGGAGGAGGCCGAGGAAGGCUGUGUUUCUGACUCACACGGGGGAGUCGGGGGAGUCGUAAACAACCCUGAAGAGAACAGCCAGGCCUGUUCCCGCAAGCCCAGACAAUGCCGGUGGAGGAAUUUGUGGCUGGCUGGAUCUCUGGUGAGACAUUUUUCUUCCUUCUGUCACAUCACACCCAAUGGUAGGUCACUUCCUGGGGAAGAUGGGUGACAUGGGAGGAGCAGAGACCAAAGUCUGAGUUCCGGCCUGGCGGGAGGAUCACUUGAGCCCAGGAGUUUGAGACCAGUCUGGGCAACAUAGGGAGGCCCCUGUCUCUACAAAAAAAUCAAAAUAAUUAGCUGGGCAUGGUGGCUCACACCUGUAGUCCCAGCUACUUAGGAGGAUUGCUUGAGCUCAGGAGUUCAAGGCUGCAGUGAGCUAUGACUGCACCACUGCACUCCAGCCUGGGUGACAGAAUGAGACCCUGCC